ACCCCUGUGACAUACCUUAUGUUGCCUCGGCGGAUCAGCCCGCGCCCCCGUAAAACGGGACGGCCCGCCGCAGGAACCCCAAACUCUGUUUUUAGUGGAACUUCUGAGUAUAAAAAACAAAUAAAUCAAAACUUUCAACAACGGAUCUCUUGGUUCUGGCAUCGAUGAAGAACGCAGCAAAAUGCGAUAAGUAAUGUGAAUUGCAGAAUUCAGUGAAUCAUCGAAUCUUUGAACGCACAUUGCGCCCGCCAGUAUUCUGGCGGGCAUGCCUGUUCGAGCGUCAUUUCAACCCUCAAGCCCAGCUUGGUGUUGGGAGCUGCGUCCGCGCACUCCCCAAAUACAUUGGCGGUCACGUCGAGCUUCCAUAGCGUAGUAAUUUACACAUCGUUACUGGUAAUCGUCGCGGCCACGCCGUUAAACCCCAACUUCUGAAUGUUGACCUCGGAUCAGGUAGGAAUACCCGCUGAACUUAAGCAUAUC
rnacentral:rRNA from 1 species